GAAUCUCAAGACUAUAUUUGUUUGUCAAACUCUUUCCACACUGAUCACAUGUGUAAGGUUUCUCUCCAGUAUGGAUCCUCUCAUGUUUUGUCAGGGAUCCUGUCCGACCGAAUCUCUCGUCACAGUGUGAACACUUGUAAGGUUUCUCUCCAGUAUGAAUCCUCUCAUGUUUUGUCAGGGGUCCUGUCUGACUGAAUCUCUUGUCACAGUGUGAACACUUGUAAGGUUUCUCUCCAGUGUGGAUCCUCUCAUGUACUUUCUGGUCUCCUAACCGACUGAAUCUCUUGUCGCAGUGUGAACACUUGUAAGGUUUCUCUCCAGUGUGGAUCCUCUCAUGUGUUUCCAGGUCUCCUAAAUGACUGAAUCUCUUGUCACAGUGUGAACACUUGUAAGGUUUCUCUCCAGUGUGGAUCCUCUCAUGUGUUUCCAGGUCUCCUAACCGACUGAAUCUCUUGUCGCAGUGUGAACACUUGUAAGGUUUCUCUCCAGUGUGGAUCCUCUCAUGUGUUUCCAGGUCUCCUAAAUGACUGAAUCUCUUGUCACAGUGUGAACACUUGUAAGGUUUCUCUCCAGUGUGGAUCCUCUCAUGUAUUUUCAGGGAUCCUAACUGACUGCAUCUCUU